AUUGAACGCUGGCGGCAGGCCUAACACAUGCAAGUCGAGCGAGCGGCGGAUGGGUGUGUAAUGUAUGGGGACUGUUCGUUAGAGGGGGCGAACGACUGGAAACGGUGGCUAAUCCCGCAUUCUGUCGGUUAACACAUAUGGGAUUAGCUAGUAGGUAAGGUAAUGGCUUACUCAGGCGACGUGCCCUAGCUGGUCUGAGAGGAUGAUCAGCCACUCUGGAACUGAGACACGGCCCAGACUCCUACGGAGGCAGCAGUGGGGAAUAUUGCACAAGGGGCGCAAGCCUGAUGCAGCCAUGCCGCGUGUAUGAAGAAGGCCCUAGGGUUGUAAAGUACUUUCAGUCGGGAGGCGUUACCGACAGAAGAAGCACCGGCUAACUCCGUGCCAGCAGCCGCGGUAAUAC
rnacentral:rRNA from 1 species